UUUCUAUAUCACUGUUACUGCUCCCACUGGAAGGCUAUUCCAGGUAUCUACUACCCUUUCUAUAUCACUGUUACUGCUCCCACUGGAAGGCUAUUCCAAGUAUCUACUACCCUUUCUAUAUCACUGUUACUGCUCCAACUGGAAGGCUAUUCCAGGUAUCUACUACCCUUUUUAUAUCACUGUUACUGCUCCCACUGAAAGGCUAUUCCAGGUAUCUACUACCCUUUCU